rnacentral:rRNA from 1 species
AUUCCCCUAGUAACUGCGAGUGAAGCGGGAAAAGCUCAAAUUUAAAAUCUGGUGGUCUUUUGGCCGUCCGAGUUGUAAUUUAGAGAAGCGUCUUCCGCGCUGGACCGUACACAAGUCUCCUGGAACGGAGCGUCAUAGAGGGUGAGAAUCCCGUCUUUGGUACGGACCCCCAGGGCUUCUGUGAUGCGCUCUCGAAGAGUCGAGUUGUUUGGGAAUGCAGCUCAAAAUGGGUGGUGAACUCCAUCUAAAGCUAAAUAUUGGCGAGAGACCGAUAGCGAACAAGUACCGUGAGGGAAAGAUGAAAAGCACUUUGGAAAGAGAGUGAAACAGUACGUGAAAUUGUUGAAAGGGAAACGCUUGAAGUCAGUCGCGUCCGCCGAGACUCAGCCUCGCUCCGGCUUGGCGUAUUUCUCGGUCGACGGGUCAGCAUCAAUUUCGUCCCUCGGAUAAUGGCAAGGGAAAGGUGGCACCUUUGCGGGUGUGUUAUAGUCUUUUGUCGCAUGCGAGGGGUGAGAUUGAGGAACUCAGCACGCGCGCCCUCUGGGGUGUGUCGGGGCCUCGGCCCACGCCACGUGCUUAGGAUGCUGGCGUAAUGGCUUUAAACGACCCGUCUUGAAACACGGACCAAGGAGUCUAACAUGCCCGCGAGUGUUCGGGUGGAAAACCCGUGCGCGUAAUGAAAGUGAAAGUUGGGACCUUCGUCGUGAAGGGCACCGACGCCCGGACCAGACCUUCUGUGACGGAUCUGCGGUGGAGCGUGCAUGUUGGGACCCGAAAGAUGGUGAACUAUGCCUGAAUAGGGUGAAGCCAGAGGAAACUCUGGUGGAGGCUCGUAGCGAUUCUGACGUGCAAAUCGAUCGUCAAAUUUGGGUAUAGGGGCGAAAGAC